rnacentral:rRNA from 1 species
GGCUCAGAAUGAACGCGGGCGGCGUGCUUAACACAUGCAAGUCGAACGAGGCUGGGGGGGCAACUCUCCAGUCGAGUGGCGGACGGGUGAGUAACACGUGGGUAACCUGCCCGGAAGUGGGGAAUACCUCGGGGAAACUCGAGCUAAUACCGCAUGACACCUUCGGGACGAAAGUCCUGACGAUCAAAGCGGGGUCGCAAGAUCUCGCGCUACCGGAUGGGCCCGCGCCCGAUUAGCUAGUUGGCGAGGUAACGGCUCACCAAGGCUUCGAUCGGUAACCGGCCUGAGAGGGCGAUCGGUCACACCGGAACUGAGACACGGUCCGGACUCCUACGGGAGGCAGCAGUGGGGAAUCUUGCGCAAUGGGCGAAAGCCUGACGCAGCAACGCCGCGUGGAGGAUGAAGGCCCUUGGGUUGUAAACUCCUGUCGGUUGGGAAGAAAUCUUGCGGGGCUCAUACCUCCGCAAGUUGACUGUACCAGCAAAGGAAGCCCCGGCUAACUCUGUGCCAGCAGCCGCGGUAAUACAGAGGGGGCCAGCGUUAUUCGGAAUUAUUGGGCGUAAAGGGCGCGUAGGCGGCCUUGCGUGUCUUUCGUGAAAUCCCUCGGCUUAACUGAGGACGUGCGGAAGAAACUGCAGGGCUCGAGUCCGGGAGAGGGGGGUGGAAUUCCCAGUGUAGCGGUGAAAUGCGUAGAUAUUGGGAGGAACACCGGUGGCGAAGGCGGCCCCCUGGACCGGUACUGACGCUGAGGCGCGAAAGCGUGGGUAGCAAACGGGAUUAGAUACCCCGGUAGUCCACGCCGUAAACGAUGGGCACUUGGUGUCGCGGGUAUCGACCCCUGCGUGCCGAAGCUAACGGCAUAAGUGCCCCGCCUGGGGAUACGGUCGCAAGGCU